UACGGAGGGGCCGAGCGUUGUCCGGAGUUACUGGGCGUAAAGCGCGCGCAGGCGGCUCGUCAAGCCUGACGUGAAAGCCCCCAGCUCAACCGGGGAGGGUCGUCGGAAACUGGCGAGCUUGAGGUCGAGAGGGGCUGGUGGAAUUCCCGGUGUAGUGGUGAAAUGCGUAGAGAUCGGGAGGAACACCCGUGGCGAAGGCGGCCAGCUGGGCCGUUCCUGACGCUGAGGCGCGAAGGCGUGGGGAGCGAACGGG
rnacentral:rRNA from 1 species